rnacentral:lncRNA from 10 species
CACAGGCUGUCAUUUGAGGAACUUGUCACAACCCUUUGUUUCCUAUCUUGUUUUGGGAGGAUACUUCUGUUCCCUUGGAUUGGACCAUGUCCAGUUCUCACCCUUAAGGCCUUUCCUUGUCUUAGUCAAUUUAACUCCUCUGCUCUGUAAUCCUUGGAUUACAAAACAAGUUGUUUCUCCUUUCCAGGGACAAGAGGAGCUUCCCUAUUGUUCUUAAUUCUUAGGGCAGAGAAAAAGGCACAAUCAUAUUAACUUGUAGCAGACGAGAAGGAAUUGGGUAGAUUAGUGAAAUCCUUUAUUCCUGCUGAUUUUUUUUUCUUUUUAAGACGAGGUCUUGCUCUUUUAUUCAGGCUGGAGUGCAGUGGUGUGAGCACAGCUCACUGCAGCCUCAAACUCCUGGGCUCAAGUGCUGCUCCUGCCUCAGCCUCCUGCAAAGCUGGAACUACAGAUACGUGAUCAUUUAACACACGGGUGUUAAGUUCAUUCUUGCUGCAAAAGAAGGCCAUUGUACCUCCUGACCCUGAAAGCAAGGGACACUGGAUUUUGUGGAUGCUCCUUGGACACACUGGAAUGCACCUUGGGCAGCCCGUGGAUCAUUUUCCCCAGUAUGAAGCAUGGGAGGAGCUGGAAAAUGAACUCAUGAGCCAGUUGAGCCAGCACAACAAGCUGGAGCCAGGAGUCUGGCUGGGCUAGCUUUUAUCUUGUGCUCCCUGGAACCCUGACUGGAUGAUUUCUGAAGUCGAGCUGGAGCCCAUCUAGAGGGAAGGUGAAACUUCUCCUCAGCAUGCAGGGCCUCCUGCACCCACACUGCCACAGCCACCGCAUUACCAGCUCCUGCCAGUCUGAGGAGCAAGAGGCUGGCAUGAAGAAUCAGUUCCAUUCUUUCCUCCCUAAAUUUAGAAAAAGCCUGUUUUGCAAAGCUUUCUUCAGUGUUUCAAGACAAAAAAAAAAAAAUUAAGCAGUUGCACAACAUGCAUAUCUUCUCCUGGCCUGCAGCUCCAGGAUAUGCAGCUGGGAGCGAGUGUCCAGCCAACAGCCCGUGUCUCAGGCCCUGCCAGGGGAUGAAUCAAUUAGCAAGAGAAGCAAUGAUGCAAAUGCUCCGGGGUCACUUGGGAUGCUGUUUGCCUUUUUGAUAGAGAAAGCACACCAUAAAUAACAUCACACCUCAGGAAAUCAUUCCAGGAGGCCCCGAUGCUGGCAGGGCUGCUGCCAGGGACGGAAGGAAUCGUUUGCUCAUUGUGUGUAUUUCCCCCAGCUCAGUCAAUGGGAGAUUUGUAGUAAAAUCAAAGUAUUUAAAAGGAGGACAGUAUGUGGUAACAGAGGCAUGUUUAGCAAUUUUUUUAGUACCAGAACCUGUGAUUUAUGACCCAGAGUUACAGCCAACUUUAUUACAAAAAUGACUUCACCCAUAAUAACCUUAUUCAGGGCCCUCUGAUGAAUGAUGUAGUAUCCAACAGCAUUAUAAUCUAGUAAAUAUUCAAACACAAUUCCCGCCUCCGCCUCAUUUCCAACCAACCCCUCAGAAGCAGGCUUCCCCCUUUACCUGCUGGGAGAAGUGGGGUCCUGGGUAAGGCUUUGUGCUCUGUCUGUGGGAGUUUGCCUGGAUCAGGCAUUUAUACUAAGCCAGGACAGAAAGUGACCUCCUGGGGUCUCAGUCAUAUCUUGUCCAACCUUGUCCCCUGAGGAGUAAUGAGCAGAAGACACCCACUCACCCUUCAUUUCCUCUCUGUGCUGAAACUUAUUUCCUCCCUGCAUUCCCCCACUCCUCCAGAGCUCAGAUCCCCACCACCUGAAAGGAGCUCCAGUAAGCUCCCUGACAUUUUUAAUUGCCAUGGUAACUGAGGGCUGCACUAAAACCGCCAGGGCUGGGUGUCCAAGCAGGGUCCCCUGGGCGUACCGGGAUCUAGAAACUAGCCCUCCAUCUUAUUAAACUCCGGUGUCAGUUCCUAGCAAUUGUUUUAAAUUUACACCCUCAGAGUGGCUUAGUGGGAUUACAUGUCCAUUUGCAUUAAAACAGUUUUCUGUCAUUAAACUGCCAUACAAUAAGCUUCCUUGGGACAAAUUAAUGAGCUCUAAAUAUCAUCAAGUAGAAGUUCACUUCAAGACAGGCAACAAGGAGGGGGGUCGGAAGGAAGUGGCUGCUCAGAAUCUCAUGGCCCAGGAGAACGAUAAGUGCCAACUAAAGAAGGGUCUUGUCCUGUUUCUUCACUGCACGAUAAGUGGUCCUGAUUUAGAGCUGAAUGGGGAGAUUUGGCAAUAUUCUCCCUGUUCGCCAAAAUCCUAUAGCUCAUCUUCUAUUCCUUCUUCCAAAUAUGACUUUACCCUUGACUUUGCUGAAAUUUGCUGAUGAAACACUGACCUCUUGUCUCAGUGACAAUGUCUCAGCCUCAUUUUCUUUGUCCUGUAGUUUCUCUGUCCUUGAGGAACUUGCGUGCAUCCACGUGGCCUGGGAACAACACGCACACAACGCAGCACUAUGUGUAGCUUGAACAAGUGCUCCCUAACUUUGUUAGUUCCCACACACUUUGCUAAAAUGCAUGUAUGAUUGCUACUGAACUGUCUGGGUCCUCAGACCUUAUCGGGACCCUGGAACACGAGUCCUGAUCAGGAGCACCUUUCAUGGUCAUCAGGAGCAGAAUAGGAACAGGGAACAGUUUAGCUUCUAAGACUGAAUUUGUCCUGCUCACAAGAAUCACCAGAGCUUGUCCUCACAAAUACAUAUGUGUGUCUAAGUAGAAAUUUUUCAUUAACACCAAAUAAACCCCCAAACCUUCCCUUAUGUAAAGGAAAUAAGACUGGCUGCUAGACAGACUUCUUGAUCCACAGAGGCUGUGAUCUCAUUUCUGUGUAGCCUUAACAGGGGACAGUAAUGUAUGAUUGAGACACUGCUAUAUUUAGGAAUGACAAGAUGAACAUUAUUAAUAGCUUAAUUGACAUUAAGGCAAUUACCCCUACCCUUAUUACAGUUUGUAGAAUUACACAGAAAAUAUUGGCUGGGGCCUUUUUUUCCCUAGAGCUACCCAAGGAUACAGCAUUUUAUUUCAUGCCAGAUCCCAGCUUUGACAUUAGAUACUUAGCCAUAGAAUGAUUCCAGUAAAUCAUUAUAAAUGCAUUAUAAUAAAGAUGUUAUGAGCUAUCAGAUAUUAACCCCCAACCCCUAAAGAGAGAUAAAUAGUCCAGUUGCAUGAUUCCCACUUUUGUUUCAUAAGAAAUAAGCUUUUGCAAAGAGCAACUGACUAAUGAAUUAUAAAAUGGUGUGUUGAGCUCAGAUAAUUAAACAAUGCAUUUUAGUGUCUAGUGCAGGAUGAACACUAAAUCAUACACAAAUAAAAAAGGUAAAAAUCUGAGCCCCAUGCCUAACUCCUAUUUUUGAAUAACAUUAAUGUUGGUCUACAGUCCAAAAAUGCUUCAACUAUUUUCUUAUCUGAUUAGAGAGGCAUAUCAAGUAUAAGAUCAAGGCACAGUAGGCAAACUAAACCAACAGUCAGAACAAAAACUGUGAAGGUGCUAAUUUCAGAUAAGCCCACAAGGUUAUUUUAAUGGAGAUUUUACAUGGAGAUUGCUUUUUCCCCCAAAGUGUUAAUGGGACAAAAGUCUAGAAGGACCUGGAAGUUUUCAGGUUUCCUUAUACUUUAUAUUUUCUCUGAACUCAUAAUAAAGCAUAUUAGUGGGAAUGGGAUCUAUGCUAUUGGUGGUGGUCUUAGCCUUAUAGUGUUGGAAAGAUGAAUACACAUCCUAAAAUCUUCUCUAGGUUGUGGAGGUGCAGGGAUGAGGAGGGGUUGGUUUGGGUUUCAACCAUUAUCCUCCCCAGGUGGUGGUAUCCUGCCCAGCAGGGCUUCAUCUAGUGGUCAACCAUGGAACACCAUGACAUUUUCACCAGUGGCCCUCAGACAGGGCUGGUUUGCCAUUGGCUGCCAUUUCCUGGCAUGUCGUAGAUUUGCUGCGUGAUUUGAAGCUGUGCUUCAGCACAUCCUGAAUGUGUUUUUUAGUCUUUCAGUAUCUCAAAGACAUGGUGUCCGCCUCAAGGUAGUCUCCUAUUUCUUCGUCAAAUAGCACAUCAUUAAGGACUGUGUGGCCAAAAUUACAGAUGGUCUUGGACUCUGUAUGGGCAAUGACCACCUGUGCUGGUAAUCGAGGCUUCCCUGGAACACCUGGGAACAUACCACACAGCCAGUCCUCUCCUGUGCUCCAGUCAAGCUUAACCUCACAGCCCGAUACUCCCUCCACUUCCCUAGCUCCAUGUGUUAGCCACUGCAGGUUAAUUGAUCUAAGGCUUAUUUUCUUCAAAUAUAAAAUGAAGAUAAUAAUGCCUACCCAGAGGGUCAUGUGAACAUUAAAUGAGAUCAAUUAUGUAAAGAUCUAUCUAUGCAGUGCCUUUCACAGAGUAUGCCCACAAAUAAAUGUUACCUGUUUCAUUUUAGUUAUCUAUGUUUAGCUAUCUUUGUGUUUUUUCUAUCCUGCUUCUUCUCGCUCCACUAUACUCUUACAUCCUAAUUCUCUCUCUCUCUCAUACACACAUACUUUGCUGUGUCUAGCACAGUGCUUUGCUUGUGGCUCACACUCUACAUGCUUGUUACCCUGAACUAUUAACAAAAGCAGCUGCUAGUAACAGUUAAUGUUUUCUGACCACCUACAUGAGCCAGGCACUAUGCUAAGUAUCAUCACUUCCUUUAAUUCUCACAAGCUUAUGAGACAAAUACUAUUUUAAUUCUCAUCUAUCGGAAAUUAAAGAUUAAAGAUGUUCUAUAACUUGCCCAAGGUCACACAAGCUCUUAAGUGGAUAGUCAAGAUCCAAACUCAGAACCGGCCUGGAUUUGAAAUCUCAGUUCUUAACUAUCACUGUGUCAGACUGAUUUUGUUAGCUUUUUCCUCCUUUAGACUGGGCCCUAUCAAGGGAUCAGAGAUAAGCAUGUACCCACUCUCAGAUGAGUGAUCCCACGACCUCAAGUUUUGAAGUUCCAGGAAGUCCAGAAGUGUAUGCUAACUCUAGUUUAUAGCUGUUCAAAAGUCACUUGUCUAAAAACUUCAGGGACAUUAUGUAAAACCAUCCAAAAAACAUUAUUGCACACCCCAUAAAGUUAAUUUCACUUUGCAAGAAUGUGUUUGAGGGAGGUGAUGCACUUGGCUAUGUAUUCAGGUUGGUGGCCACAAUAUAUGGAGCUGUGCUGUCAUCCUUGACACUCUGGCUUACUGGCAGCCUCGCUCCAACACACUGUCACAGGCGAGGGAUGGCCUCCCAGUCUUGACUCAGAACACUUAAGCUUCCUAAUGGUCCAAGUCUCACAAACCACACACCUCCCUUAAUUAAAAAAGUAAAUUAAAAGGAGUAUUUCAACUUAGGGAUGAAUUAUCUUAGUAAUUUAAGAUUGACAUUUUAUUGGAUAAAAGGACAUGUAUGAGUUUAUUUUAAAAUACUGCCUUCAUGAACAAGAGACCACAGAAAAGAUUAUCCUGAGGUUGCAAGGCGUUUGUAGAGCCAGAGGACACCCUUGCAAAACAGCCACUGUGAGAGGCCAGUUGCUGCAAAUCACAGGUCAGCCACUUCUACACUUGUCCUUCAAGCACAUCAGCCGGACAUUUGGAGUUUUCUAUAGUCUUCAUUUCAAACUCGAUCAUCCUGAGUGUUGUGGUGGACACUACUAGUGUCACAAAGAGUCCAGCACCCUCUCCUUCCAGGUAUAUAAACGGUGCAUUGCUGGGCUCCUUUGCAGUUGGAUAGGUCAGGUAAUUUGUCUGUUGUGAAGAGUUACUAUGUUUCACUUCUAAGCCGAAGCAUUUGAUUGUCAAUGGAAUACCCUCCAGCUCUCUCCUUCCCUGCAGAAGUAAUCUUGGAAGCAUGUGUUGAGAUGACAGAGUUCCCAAUAGCCUAGAUUCCUGAAUGACUUAGUGGAGCUGAGUCCUCCACAGGUCCAUGUUGGACAUGCACAAUCAGUGAGAAUAAACUUUUGUUGGAUUAAGUCACCGAUGUUUGGAGACUGUUCAUUACCACAACAAAAUGUAGCCAAAUCCCGACUAAUCCAGGAAUUAACCUUUUGUUCAGAAAAUACAGCCCUUCUAAGUCAUAAACCCAUAUUCUCUUUCCAAUAGCUUAUUAAAUGGUUUAUGUAUUUUCCAUCUUUUUGAUAUACUCUCAGAUGCCUAAAAUUACCACAGUGACCUUGGAUUGGACAAGGUAGUUGUUUGUCUUUUAGCCAUUAAUAAAUAUUGCUACUGUGGAAUGAGUGAGGGAAACAGAAGAAGACAAGGUUGGCCUUUUGAAAAUAAUAUGGCAUCAUGUAACGAUGAAAAAGAGAAAAAAUACAGAAAAAAGAGAAAACAAGAGAAAAAUGAAAAACAAGUCUAUAAGAGAGAAAAGUAGAGAAAAACAAAACAAUAGAAAUGCUGGGCAAUUUGUUUCAGAUUCACUAUAACCAACUGCUUGUUGUUGGGUUCUGCUCUAGAAGGCAUCUCUCAGGAUGCCUUUGACCCUCAGCACCUUUUUGUGUAUGUGCCUAGCAUACUGAGGUGCUCAAUAAAUGUUGAUUGAAAGGGUAAAUAAAGGAAUAAAUUUCCAUUUUAUAAUCUUGGAAGCAUAUAUUACUUUAAACGGCCUAUGACUAUGAAUGGACAUUCCAUUGCACAUUGAAAGGCAGUACAACAAGUGAGAAGGGAAGUAGAAAUAUAUGAGUUUGAAUAGCUCUUCAUAACCUUUAAACCUGAGUCCUUGCAAAGAGCAACUAUGAGGUCAGAGCAAUAAUUCUUUGUCCUAAAAACAGGACACCACUGAUAACUCAGAGCCGUCUGUUGAAGAAAGUGUUUCAAAUAAACUGGUUAGCAAUGCCCUUGUUUUGUUUGCCUCUGGAUGGGAAGAACUAGGAGUGCAAUCAGCACCGAGGUGUCUAUAGUCUUGAUGUGGUGGGAGAUGAAAGUAGGGGAACUGAAUAAUGUAUUUUUUCAAAACCUUGAAUGGAGCGAGAAAUACUGAUAAAAAGGAAGAGUUGUGAGUCAUUCUUCUGCUGAUGCCAACUGGGAAGCUCCAGUAGUAUAUUCCCCUGGUGAUGAAGUAAUUCACUUUUUCUGAGAUUAACAUUCUGUAGUAAGGCUGUUCCUCAUACAAGGUUGCUCACAGGUAAAGUUAAUAAAAGGCAGAGUCUAAGAAUUCAUAAGGAAGUUUGCCUUUCCAUGGGGAGAAAGCAUGCAAUCAGGGUCUCUAGUCUGUGUGCACACGUGUGUGUGCGCGUGUGUGUGUGCGCGCGCGCACUCAUAUGCACAGCUCAGAUGUCCAGGACUUGAGAUGAGAAUGGAAAGCACCGAAUAAGAAGAAAGCUGCCACACAGUAGGCUGAAGGAGAAUGACUACAACCUUUAGGCUGAAAAAAAAAAAACACUACAUGCUGGCGUGUAUCCUUGUGGAUAUGUGGAAACACAACAAAAAUAUUGGUCCAUCCUGGCUGCAGUUUUAAAGGAAAGGAAGAUCUCCUGGCAUCAACAUCUCUUGGAGAUGAACACACUAUACAUGCAAGUUCAAAUCUAUCAUCUUCCACCAGUCAACCCAAGCUACAUUCCCCUUCCAUUUAUUAUCAAAGGAAUAAGCACUUUUGUUUCCCAGGCUUAACUCCUCAAAAUCAUGAGCUUUUCUUCCCUACCUUUCCCUUCAUUCGAACUCUUUCCUUUCAAAAUGUUUAUAGAAUUCAUUCUUAUCCUCUCCCUGCCUGGGGGGUUUAUCUAGCUAGUCUAAAUUCUAGAUCAUUGCCUUUCUAUAGGAAAUAUAAAACACACAAAUAAUGAAAUACCCAUAAUCCAAGGCAGAAAUCAUGAGUGUUAUAGUAACAAUGGCCUCAAGAGCUAGACUGCCCAGGCAGCUCAUAUU